CCUACGGGCGGCUGCAGUGGGGAAUAUUGGACAAUGGGGGCAACCCUGAUCCAGCUAUGCCGCGUGUGUGAAGAAGGCCCUCGGGUUGUAAAGCACUUUCAGUGAGGAAGAACGCCUGGUGGUUAAUACCCAUCAGGAAAGACAUCACUCACAGAAGAAGCACCGGCUAACUCCGUGCCAGCAGCCGCGGUAAUACGGAGGGUGCGAGCGUUAAUCGGAAUUACUGGGCGUAAAGCGCGCGUAGGUGGCUUGAUAAGCCGGUUGUGAAAGCCCCGGGCUCAACCUGGGAACGGCAUCCGGAACUGUCAAGCUAGAGUGCAGGAGAGGAAGGUAGAAUUCCCGGUGUAGCGGUGAAAUGCGUAGAGAUCGGGAGGAAUACCAGUGGCGAAGGCGGCCUUCUGGACUGACACUGACACUGAGGUGCGAAAGCGUGGGUAGCAAACAGGAUUAGAUACCCGGGUAGUC
rnacentral:rRNA from 1 species